AUAUAUUCUUUGUUGAACAAUUUUGUAGAAUAUGAUAGUGUGUGAUUCUUGGUUGUAGAAAAGAUGUGAGUUUUAGUUCUAUAGAAUAGCUGUAAAUUGAUUCUUAAGAAAAGAUGUUAUUUUUAGUCUUGUAGAAUAGCUGUAAAUUGAUUCUUAAGAAAAGAUGUGAUUUUUAGUUUUGUAGAAUGGCUGUAACUUGAUAAAUCGUGAUUCUUGACUGUAGAGAAGAUGUGAUUUUUAGUUUUGUAGAAUAGCUGUAGUUAGAUAAAUUGUGAUUUUUGAGGGCUAUUUGGUUCAUUAAAGAUAGCUGUUUUGAGCUAAGUUACUCGGACUCUUCGAAAGUGUUGCCAUACCCGUGUUGGAUCCUCCAAAAAUACACUAUUUUUGAGGGAUCCGACACGCACCCGAUUUUAAGAGAGUCCGAGUAACUUAGGUUUUGAGUAUAGCUAGAUAUUAGGUCCUUGCUUGAUAGAGAAAUUUCUGAUCCUUUCAUUAUUGAUUACAUGUUUGUGUGGCUUUCAGCAUUAUGGUUAACUGAUCCCUGCGCCAAAAUGGCACAUUUUUGUAGCCUAAAGACCAAAAUAGCAUGCCAAAAUUUUUCUAUAACCAAAUGGGUUUUUCGUUGCACGUGCAACUAAAUGUCAAAAAACAUUAACGUCUCCAUCUAAAAAAAAAAAUACAUUUCGCCAUGAUUAUAACGAAAUGUAGUUAAUUUUUUUUUCUCAUUUCGCCAUGGUUAUAAUGAAAUGUAAUUAGCUUUUUUUUUUUCUACAUUUCGCCAAGAGCCCAACAAAAUGCUCUUAUUUUUUUUAUUAAUUUUUUGCACUUCGCUGGACAUGUUCUGUGCUUUUUUUUUUUUACAUUUCAUUUAUAUUGUGACUCUCGUGACUUAAAAGAAACUAAAGUUGCAGAUUCAAAUUUAAGACGAGCAUUGAUUGGUCACAUCAAAAUAAUUUGUUUUUGUAGUUCAUGACUCAGUUUGCGAACUACUUUACUUUUUUCCGUUAAUAAAUACUGCCUAUCUUUACCCAUCCUUCAUCUUUCAAUUUUCUUUUAUCCAUUUCAUAUCUCAUUUUUCUCUUAUCUGUUUCAUAUCCUUCAGCUUUCAUUGUUCUCUCAUCCAUUUCAUAAAGGAUGACGGAAACUUAUGUAAAAGUAUAUUUAUUUUGUGGUGGUGAAGUUGUGUAUGAUGCGGGUUUGGUUAGGUACAGUCGACAUCCUGAAAUAGGGCAAAGGUUUUCAAUUUUCCUAAAAUACAAUCGUCUGCAACGCGUCUUAAGGAGUAAAAUGUUCGUAAAUGAUCCUGAACUUUCGGUGGUUAUCACCGGACGAUGUCCAAGGUCAUUUACAGCCGAUGGUUUACCAAUUUAUGGUGAGAUGCCGAUUUUCUUCAUAGUCCUGAGAUUUUUAAAAAUCACAUAAGCAUAGCGGCGCUUGACAUGUAUGCUACUGUUGAACGCUCUACCCAGGUUGAAGUACCUACCGACAAUGAAUUCGAGUUCGGAGGUACUACCUAUCUCCCAAGUUUGAAUAUUGGUUUUCCAAGGGGUGUAGUUCAACAACAAACAAUGGUAGGAUUUGGUAGUUAAUCAAACUAUACGACUAAUUAUGGUACACAGUAUGAUGGUGUGGAUUAAACGCACUAUCAUAACUUUGAUUGGAGCGGGCAGAACUGUGAGACGGGAGACCAAGUAAUGCUACUACGCAAUCGCAGAAUUUGGAUUGUAAUGUCCGACACCCUUCACAUCCAGGUCCAAGUGAAUUGGACAGUGAUAGGUAAAUAUAAUCAUAUUUUGUUCACUUUAUUCAUGGAUCUUAUAAUUGUGUUUGACUUGUAAAUUCUAUGAAUUUUCCUUAUCUAUAGGCAUAACGAUUUUGAAGAUAACCCCACAUUGACUCAGCUCACACAAAUUGUGAGCAACAACGAUUUAGCUAAUGAUAUAAUAAAUGAGUCCGAUAGUGAUAGUCCAUUAGAUCAUGAAGGGACGGAUGAUGAUCAAUCGUCUGCUGACGACAACGAUUCUGAUGAAGACGUUGUGGCCCCCAGUGAUCUUAGUGUUAAUUGUCAUUCAAAUGUGAUCCCAUAUUUGGAUAAUAUAGAAGAAGCAGCGGAAGAUUUUGCAUACAUGAGAGGUAACGGGUCUGUUCGGGCUGCACUUUGGAAUUUUAGAAAUCCUAAUCGGAUAGCGAUAGUCCAUUAGAUCAUGAAGGGACGGAUGAUGAUCAAUCGUUUGCUGACGAUGACGAUUCUGAUGAAGACAUUGCGGCCCCCAGUGAUCUUAGUGUUAAUUAUCAUUCAAAUGUGAUCCCAUAUUUGGAUAAUAUAGAAGGACAGGAAUAUUUUGCAUACAUGAGAGAUAAUGGGUCUGUUCGGGCUGCACUUUGGAAUUUCAGAAAUCCUAAAGUUACCAAAUCAGGUAUGUUAUUUCACAACAAGAAGCAAAUGAAAAGUGCAGUGAGACUCUACAAUAUAGCCAACAAAAAAGAAUUUAAAACGGAUCAAGCCAAAGGUACAUUUUGGAAGGUUAUUUGCAAGCGGCAUGAGUUAAGUUGAAGUUGGAUGAUUCGUUUUUCGUUGAUCGGAAAUGGUAUGUGGAAAGCAGGCAAAGUGGUUGAGCCACACACAUGUCCAUUCAGGAAGUUAUAACAGGGAUCCACAAGUAUAAUCCUAGUUAUAGAAAAGCGCAAAAAGGGCGUAAGAGAGCUUUUGAGAGGGUGUAUGGUGAUUUCGAAGGUUCAUUUAGGGCGUUGCCUCGAUACAUCGCUGCCCUACAACAUUUCAAUCUCGGCACUGUUGUUGAGUGGACACACGAGUCAACUACAAUGCAAGGCGAACACAUCUUCAAGUAUCUUUUCUGGGCCUUUCAACCAAGCAUCAAUGGAUUCAAAAGUUGCAGGCCGGUCAUCUCAAUAGAUGGCACCCAUGUCUAUGGUAAGUAUGAGAUGAAAUUGUUGAUUGGUGUUGGAAUUGAUGCAAACGUAAAUAUUUUCCACUUGCAUACGCUAUAGUUGCACGUGAGAACUUUGAGUCAUGGACUUGGUUUCUCUGUUUAUUAUGGAGACAUUGUUUGUGAUAGAAAAGGAAUUGGACUAAUUUUCGGCCGUCAUCAAGGCAUCUUGCAAUGUAUCCAAACACAUGAAUGGUUACAGCCACCCACCACACACCAUAGAUUUUGUUUUCGACAUUUGAAAAGCAACUUUAACAAAAAGUUUCUUAACUCUGAUCUUGAGAACCUAAUGUCGUUGGCGGCUACAGAGCACCAGAUGAAGAAAUACCGAAUGAGGAUGCAACAAAUCAAAACUUUGUCACCUCCCGCGCAUAUGUGGUUGAGCGAACUUCCGAAGGAAAAAUGGACAUUGUAUAAGGACGAUGGUUGUAGGUGGGGAGCUAUGACGACAAAUGUCUUUGAGUCUUACAACGGUUUAUUGAAGAAAGCCUGUGGACUGCUUGUUACUGCCAUGGUUCGCAUGACCUUUAAAAAUCUUGUUGAUCGUUUCGUUAAAAGAAGUGCCCUUGCUGCUUUGCUAAUUGUAAAUAAGAAAACUUGGCUGCCCGUUGUUGAUAAGAAAUUCCAUGAAUAUUGGGAAAGGGCCAACAUGCACACUGAUGUGAUGAACUAGGGCGGAAAUAUCCAUAAAGUCUCUGACAAUGGAAAAAAGUGUUCAUGUGGGAAGUUGAAAAACUACCAUAUGCCAUGUUUCCAUGCAAUUAAGUUUUGUCGGAUCCGUAAAAUUCAGCCCAAGGACUAUGUUAGCAAGUACUACAAUUGCAGGUAUUACAACGUACAAUGGAAAGUUUUCUCCCUUGGGUGAUGAGGCAUAUUGGCCUGCAAGUCCCUUCCGUUUAAUUGCAAACACUGCAUACGAGCGAACUUCUGGAGCCCAGAGAAAAACUGGAAGGAGGAAUGAAAUGGAUAUUGCUCCUGCUCGCAUGGCUAGGAGGUGCAGUACUUGUAGGCAAACCGGUCAUAACAAGAAGCGUUGCUCCAAUCGUACUCAGUAGUUGUUGUUGCUUAUUUGCUAUUGUUUACCUAUCACUGUCCAAUUCACUUGGACCUGGAAUUACAAUCCAAAUUCUGCAAAUGCGUAGUAGCAUUACUUGGUCCCCUGUCUCACAGUUCUGCUCGCUCCAAUCAAAGUUAUGAUAGUGCGUUGAAGCCACACCAUCAUAUUGUAUACCAUAAUUAGUCAUAUCGUUUAACUGACUACCAAAUCCUACCAUUGUUUUUUAUUGAACUACACCCCUUGGAAAACCAAUAUUCAAACUUGGGAGAUAGGUAGUACCUCUGAAAUCGAACUCAUUGUCGGUAGGUACUUCAACCUGGGUAGAGCGUUCAACAGUAGCAUACAUGUCAAGCGCCGCUAUGCCUAUGUGAUUUUUAAAAAUCUCAGGACUACGAAGAAAUAACGAUAAAGAUUCAUCGUCCAUAAUCGGCAUCUCACCAUAAAUUGGUAAACCAUUGAUUGUAAAUGACCUUGGACAUCAUCCGGUGAUAACCACCGAAAGUUCAGGAUCAUUUACGAACAUUUUACUCCUUAAGACGCGUUGCAGGCGAUCGUAUUUUAGGAAAAUUGGAAACCUUUGCCCUAUUUCAGGACGUCGGCUGUAUCUAAUCGAACGGUCAUACACAACUUCACCACCCCAAAAUAAAUAUACUUUUACAUAAGUUUCCGUCAUCUUUUAUGAAAUGGAUGAGAGAAAAAUGAAAGCUGAAGGAUAUGAAACAGAUAAGAGAAAAAUGAUAUAUGAAAUGGAUAAAAGAAAUUGAAAGAUGAAGGAUAUAACAUGGGUAAAGAUCAGUAUUUAUUGACGGAAAAAAGUAAAGUAGUUCGCAAAUUGAGUCACGAACUACAAAAACAAAUUAUUUUGAUGUGACCAAUCAAUGCUCGUCUUAAAUUUGAAUCUGCAACUUUAUUUUCUUUUGAGUCACAAUAAAAACGAAAUGUUAAAAAGAAAAACACACAACAUGUCCAGCGAAGUGCAAAAAAAUAAGAGCAUUUCGUUGGGCUCUUGGCGAAUGUGGGAAAAAAAAAAUUUAACUACAUUUCGUUAUAAUCAUGGCGAAAUGUUAUGUUUUUUUUUUUUUAGAUGGAGACGUUAAUGUUUCUUAACAUUUCGUUGCACGUGCAACGAAAAAACCCAUUUGGGUAUAGAAAAUUUUUUGGCAUGCCAUUUUGGCGCCGGACUCAUGGUUAACUUCUAAGGUUAAAUUUGGGUAGAUUACUUCAUAUAGACUUUCGAAAAAUUAAUAGCCAAGUCUUUGGUGAAGGUAGAAGGUUAUAAAGAUAGCAGUAACAGAAGAAAGAACAAAUCAAUUGAAUUGGCUAUCAACAAGCUCCAAGUAGUUAAAUUAAUUUGAAAAUGAGCUUUAUUUUAGGGGUUGAUUUUCUUUUGAAAUUUCAGGGACUCUAAUGAGGAGCAAGUGAUUGUCUUUUAAUGUAGUAAACUUCACCCUUAUCCCCACCCCACCCCCCAAAAAGAAAGGCACCCCUGCCCAGUAGCCCAAUAGUGGCUAUUUGAUAUUUCCCACUUUGCUUCCUUGGUGACUCGAAAAAAGGUAAGUUUUGUUAUAUUGGAUAUUAUAACACCGAUGGAGGUCCUAUAGUUUCAUCAUAUAACAGUUCAGUAUUACUUAGGACCGCGUAGAUGGUAGUAGGGGGCUUUAAGCUAGCAAAGUGACAAGGGUGAUCAAGUGGAAUGAGAGGGGAUGCACAGGGCUCUUUUGGUGACAAAUGCUGGGAUUUUUUUUUCCUUUAGUAGGCUAAUAGACAGUACCUCUCCCCCCUCCGCCAAAAAAAAAAAAAAGGAAGAAGCUGGAAUAGUUGGCUUAGUUCCAUAUGUGGAAGAGA